GACGUAGGAUGCAAGCGUUGUCCGGAAUUAUUGGGCGUAAAGAGUUCGUAGGCGGUUAUCUAAGUCUGGUGUUAAAGCCCGAAGCUCAACUUCGGCAUGGCAUUGGAAACUGGAUGGCUAGAGUGUGGUAGAGGUAUCGGGAAUUCCUGGUGUAGCGGUGAAAUGCGUAGAUAUCAGGAGGAACACCGGUGGCGAAAGCAAUCCCCUGGGCCUGCACUGACGCUCAUGCACGAAAGCGUGGGGAGCAAACAGG
rnacentral:rRNA from 1 species